rnacentral:tRNA from 1 species
ACUCUCUUAGUAUAACAUACAGUACAACUGACUUCCAAUCAGUUAGCCUUAGUUUAAACCUAAGAGAGAGUA